rnacentral:rRNA from 1 species
CCCCGAAAUGUACUGGGCUACACGCGCACUACACUGACAGAGUGAACGAGUUUGAUUCUCGCCUAGCGAGCCUGCCCUGAAGAGGGUGGGAAACCUUCAAAACUCUGUCGUGAUAGGAAUCGCAGAUUGCAAUUAUUCCUCUUGAACGAGGAAUGCCUAGUAGGCGCAACUCAUCAGGUUGCACUGAUUACGUCCCUGCCAUUUGUACACACCGCCCGUCGUUGCUACCGAUUGGGUGGAAGAUAGAGCUUGAUGGAUUGGUGCUUGUCCGGCUCGCCGGACGGUAUUGCGAAGUCAAGCGAUCUCUUCCAUCUAGAGGAAGCAAAAGUCGUAACA